UUUAGUUGAUUUAGCAGAACACAGAUAUUUUGUGAUGAAAAUUUAUUAGUAAUAUCUAGUGAAAAAAGUAUAGGAGACUUCUAGUACUGUGAGGGAAUAAAUUAUUGAUAUAAUAAUAAGCAGUGGUUAAAACAUGUACCUUUUGCAUCAUGGCCUGGUGAGAUAAAGGAAUCAGAUAGAUGCUUCUCGAAGCCUGACGAGCGUCCUUUUUAUUACAUAUUGGUGUAAAACCCUGCUUAUGUGGCACUAUAAGGGGGAAAUAAAAAGGAAGUGUUGAAAUUUCAUUCGUGUAGGGGGAUAGCUAGUUUUUUCAUAAAUACAUGUUAGUGUAUCGGCUGUAUUUAUAACCAAGUCUUUUUGACUCUACUUGUGCGGUAAGUGGGUUUGGUUAAUAUAUUUUCGUCAGGCAUUGGAGUCUAAGCUCUGAUGUUGGAAAGUCUUAUAUAAACGUUUGUUUUAGAGGGGGUUGGCCUAACACUAGCUAUCCAGUCGUCCGUUUGUUAUAAAUGACUCUGUAAAGUACAACUGUAAGAUAUCUUUAAGAAACAGUAAUGAAAAUACAUACUAAAAUAGAAUAGUUUGAAAAUAAUGCUAGGAUGAGUAUCACGUGUAGUCAAAGAAAUAGAAAUAAUCUAUUUGCAAGAAGAGGACUUUAAAUUAGAAAUUAUAUGCGCAUAUUUAGUAAAGGAAUUCGGCAAAUAAAACCUCCGCCUGUUUAACAAAAACAUGGCUCUUUGCUUAGGUAUAAAGAGUCUGACCUGCUCUAUGAUUAUAUAAUUAAAUGGCCGCGGUACCCUGACCGUGCAAAGGUAGCAUAAUCACUUGCCUUUUAAUUGGAGGCUGGCAUGAAUGGUUGGACGGGAGGUUGACUGUCUCUACUAAAUUACGAGAAUUUAAUCUAUAGGUACAAAAGCCUAUAUUCUAUUAAAAGACGAGAAGACCCUAGCGAGCUUUAUUCUAGCAGUGAAACCACAAUUCCUGGGAGAUUUUGGUUGGGGCGACUGAGGGAACAAAAGCACCCUUGAUUUGUAGUAAAAUCAUGGUUAUAGAUCCAGCUAAUGUUGAGUGACAGGUGAGCUACCGUAGGGAUAACAGCGUAAUCUUUUUAGAGAGUUCUAAUCGAAAAAAGGGUUUGCGACCUCGAUGUUGGACUAGGAUAUCCUAAGGGUGUAGAAGCUUUUAAGGGUUGGUCUGUUCGACCACUAAAAUCCU
rnacentral:rRNA from 1 species